CUGCCGGGAUUUGCGCGAGGAACAAGCGUAGCGUAGCAGAUGCUACGGCGAAGAAGGAGCAGAAAGCCGCGGAGAAAGGGAAUGUGCCCCGCCGCCCCCGCAGCAGCUCCAGCUGCCCCAGUUGGAGCGUCAAUCCCCUGCGCAAGGCGACGGGCUUGAUUCCGCCGGGUCCCCGGGCCGGGGGGGGGGGGGGGGCUGCGGUGGCACGUUGCCGGCCCGGGAGUGGACGGGGCCGGGGGCUACGUUGGGGGUUUGGUUUUCGCGUUCGGCAGAGGCCCUGGGACAUCGCCCUGCCGCCGCCGCCGCCGUCCCCGGCGUGACUGUGCCGCUCCGGUACCCUGGUGCCGCGCAUCGUUCAACAAGCGAUAGCGACAGUAUGGAUCGGGUUUUAUGCCAGUCCUAAUGAUGUCCUAGCCAGAACUGUUCUGAAGUCAUCUUGUUGAUAAAGGAAACUUACAGCAGCCCUAGAGGCUAACCAUUCCCAAGCCUCCCAAACUUGGGGAUACUGAGGUUUUGAAGAUCCCAGGUAUCCUAUUCAAUCUGAGAGAGAAGGAGGAAGAAAACAAGGUGAAUCCUACCUCACCCCGAA